rnacentral:lncRNA from 1 species
UUAUAUUUUUAAGCAGUGAUUAGGUCCAAAAGAUUAGCGAUACGAGUCCACAUUACCUAAUAUUUGUGAGUAUGAUUCACUAUGACAGGAAUCGUCAGUACUAAAUUAAGAGGAUGAAUAAUUAUAAAAUAAAUAAUUUCUCUAAAAAACAUGACCUGUACUUUCCUAAAAAUUUAUACUGUUAGAGAACAAUAUUUAUAUAUUUUUAUAUUUAACACUUCCUUUCACGUCUGGGCUCGAAAUUUUUUUAGUUGCCCAUGACGUGGGCUUGAAUUAAAUGGGAAGAAAUUAAUAUGUUAGGAGCCUGACAUGACUUGAACUCAGGAUCUCCUGCUCUGAUACCAUAUGAAACAACCUUGUACUCUAAAAGCUUAAGCUGUUAGGUAUUUAUAUAUUUUUAUAUUUAACCACGUCUCGUUCAAAUCAAAAUAAAAUAUUAUUAAAAAAAUAACUUUUACGACCAUCCUUUAAAAUUUAAUAAUAACAAGCUUUAAGAUUUUUAUCAACAUCAACAUCAUUGGAGAGAAUCUUUUACUAUAAUUCAAUAAUAAGUCGCAUAUAUUUGAAAACUUUACCAAUUGAAUAUAUCUCUUAAUUAUUGGCGAAGCAUCACAUCAACAAAGCUGUUCCCGCGUUUUUAAUUUAUUUGAUACUCUACCAUUAUAAUAUAAAUAUAAUAAUUAAAUAACUAUUAAUUAAACAUAGUAAAAUGAUCGUGACAUAUGAUUAGUACCCAUAGCUCUUUUUUUUUUAUUUUUUUUAUUUUUUGGGUUUAGUUUAGUGCGUGCCACUCCUUUUCAAAUGUGGGUUCCCCCACAAAGAAUUAGUACCCAACGAGUACAUGAUGUGUUAGAAAAUUCGUGCCACAUUUGGUGCCAUCUAAUGCGCAUAAAUUAUUUUACAUAUAUAAAUUAAAAGAAAUAAUUUAUAUUUGUUUCUCUUUUAAUUCUUUAAUUAUAUUUAAUUAAGUUCAUUCAAAAUUAUUGACACAAAAAAGGGGUAAAUUCCAUAUUUCAUCCUCAAAUUUUAAUUUGUUAAUUUUUUUGCUUAAACUUCCAGAUUUUUUACAAAGUUUUGUAAUCCAAUUUAGUUGAUUAAAUAUUAAUAUUUUUUUAAUAUAGUGGUAAUAUAAUAGUAUUGUGAUUGAUGAUACGUUAAUAAUUAAUAUACAAUAUCAUUUUUUUAUAUCAACGAUGCGUAAAAGUUUAGUCAAUUAAAUUGAAUUGUCGGAUUUGAUUGUAAUAAUUUUAAAAAUUCAAGCUAGAAAUUACAGUAAAUUAAAGUUUGAAAUUACAAUGUCAUGCGCCGCAUAGUUUAAAGAUCAAACAUUUAAUUUAUCCAUAUAAAAAAAAAUCUAAUAUAGCCAUAUUGGUGAUAAUUUUUUUUUUUUAAAUAAUUCAUCAGAAUGUGUUUAUCUUUAAAAUAUAGUAAAUAGUUAACUUUAUAUUAAAUUGAAACUAAUUAUUAGAAUAAAUUAAAUUUUACAAAUAGAAAAAAAAAAAAUCAUACAACUUUUUUUUAAAAAAAGUAAACUAGAGUAGACAAAAAGGAGAUUCAAAAACUAAAUAAUAAAUAUAAAUUUAGCACGUUAAUUAAAAUGAUAAAAUUACGCGUAUAUUAUUUAUAAUUAGAUACAAAUCCAUCCACUAAUAUUGGCCCGCUAUUAUUUAUAGUUAGUUUUUGGUAUUAAAUUGAAAUUUUGUUAAAACCAGAGGUGAUUUUUAAAUUUAACUAUUUUGAAACGAGGGCUUUUUUUGCAUUUAGACCCCUGAUAAAUUUUUAUUUUAAAAAUAACCCUGUCAAAAUUUAAUUUGCAAAAAUGGCUCUGGGCCUGCCACGCAGGCGCCACGUCAGCGCCACGGGGGCUGGGCCCGUGUGUUAAGUUGAACACGGUGAACCAUUCACCGUGUUCAAACACGGUGAAUGGUUCAUCGUGUUNUAAGGAAUAAAAAUUAUUAAAUAUUUUAUAUAUUGUAUAAAUAAACAAAAAUAAAUUACGUAUAUAUAUAUAUAUAUAUAUAAUUUAUUUGGGUUUGGAUUCGGAUAAUAUUUCGGGUAUCCAUACCUAUUGACAUCCCUACUCCUUAUUCCACUUUUCAAUAUACAAAAAAUACGUAAGAAACACGGUGAACCAUUCACCGUGUUUAGACACGGCAAAUGAUUCACCGUGUUUAACUUAAUACCCUGGCCCCAGCCCUGCCCGCGUGGCGCUGACGUGGCGCCUGCGUGGUAGGGACAGGGCCAUUUUUGCAAUUUUAAUUUUGAUAGGGCUAUUUUUAAAAUAAAAAUUGCUCAGGGGACUAUUUGCAAAAAAAGCCCUUGAAACGAUUUGAGGCAACAAAAUCACGGAAUUUCGUCGGGUAGAAUUAUUAAUUUUGACAAAAUUUUAAUUUAAUUUAUCAAAAUAAUUAAAAAAUGUUAGAGUGAGUCCACAAAACACGUGAACAAAAAAGUUGAGGGAUUUGAUUCAAAGAGAAACAUUGUUUAGGGGCCUUAGUGCAUUUUUGCGUUUUCCUUUCAAACCGGCCGGCCCUCGCCUUAAGCUACGGAUGACGUCACCCUCGCGGCAACCGACACGUCAUCCGGUCAUGUCCUACGUGGCAAGAGGGUUUGACCGGGUACCGACGGAGGUGACCGGCCCGCGAUUCUAAAACGCGCCGACUCCGCACCGCUACGACAAAUUUUUUUUUUUUCAAAAAAAAAUAAAAAUAAAAAUGUGUGAAAACCCCUCAAUUAUUUGGAAAUGGAAUAAUUAUUGUUUUCUUUCAUUAAGACCCCUCAACUUCUCAAUUUAAAAUUGAGUAUUAUACUUAAUCGAGUCAAAAAUUUAUUGACUUACUAAUAUUACUGGCUAUCAACUAUUUAAUUUAAAGUUUUUUAAAUAACUAACUUUGAUAAAAUUGUUAAUAAUUUUAACAAAUUUUUUGAUUUUUUUACUAAAACUAUUUGAUUAAGAAAUCAAAAAAGUUAAAGUUGACGAUAUUAUUUUGAACUGAAUUAUGGGCAGAGAAAUGCAAAGUCUACUAGUUGAAGAAUUAUGUUUUGCAAGCCAUUUUGAAAUGGCUCCAUCAAGUUUGAAGUUUUUUACUUUUUAAGUUUCUAUAAUCAAAAUAAUAUUAGUUAAAAAUUAUAUAUUUUAUUAAAUUUAUCAAAUAUUUGAACCCGUAUUGCUGCCAGCAUCGGCAGAGGUGUGGGUGAAGUAGGAGAGAGAGGAGCACGGUGUCGACGUUGGAGCGAUGAAGGAGAAGGAGAAGGAGACAGAAAAUAGAGAGAAAGCGGGAGGAAAAUAAGAGAAAUGAACGACAAGUAGACAGACGAAGAGAGCAGAAGAAAACAUACGAGAGAGAGAAAGAAGAUAGAAAAAAAAAAUACUUUGAUCAGUUUACUAAAAAUUCAGAUCUAAUCUAUAACAUCUAAAAAUAAACAUAUGUUUACAAAAAUAAAAACCCAAUAGAUUUUUUUAAACAAGUGAGCCAAAAAGAAAAAGAGUACAACAGGCCCUAAACUUUUAUUUUCUCAUAAACGGUCAUUUGGAUUUUUUAACUUUGACAAUUAAAUCACUAAAUUUUUUUAGAUAGUUUAUUAGAUCUCUCUCCUCAAUCCAAGUUAUUUAUUCCAUUCCAAUUUUGCUCCAAGUUAUUUAUUCCAUUCCAAUUUUGCUAAUUAAGUUCGAGAAUUUGAGAAUAGAAUUGACCUAUAUUAAAUUUUACAAAAAUAACAUUUAUUUCAUUUUUGAACCUUUAUAAGAUAACUAUAAGAUAUACAAUCUGAACAGUUAUACAAUUAGUAAUUUGGAUUAAAAAAAAAAUCAUUGAACUGUCUAAUACAGUUAUGAAAAUUUAAUUUGUUAGAAUAAUAAUUUAGUCACCCUCUUGUAAAAAAGCAAUAGAUUCAAAAAAUCUCUAUACAUCUCAUAUAUUUUUCUCUUAAAAAAAAAAAAAAAGUGAAAUUGCACUUUUCAUUCUCUAAUAAUGAGGCGUGCAAGCAAUUCGAUACUUAAUUUUUAAUUUAUUCUCAAUAUUUUGGCGCAAACUUUCGAAAUUAGUGUGAUUAAAUCCUGUAAUAUAAUUGAUAAUGCAGUAACUCCAUGUACUAUUCAACAAAAUUGGAUCGUACAAUUUAGUUGCAACAAUUUUAAUUUUUUUUUUUGAGAAAAAAAUAGCAUGCUAUCCGUUUCAUUCAUUGAAGAGAUAAAUUAAGUUACAAGAAUAGAGCAUCCAGGCCCCUAAAAAAAAAAAUUAAAAAAAUAAAAAAAAAACGUCACCAUCUCUGAAGUGAACAAUUUAAAAAGUUAAGAGUCUAAAAAUUAACAACAAAGUAAAAGCCGAGGACCAAAACGUCACGAUUGUAAAGUUUGAAGACCAAAAAUAUAAUUUAACCAAUCACCCAUAAACCCCCAAAAAAGAAUAAAAACAAAAACAUAAAAAAACAGGAAACCCGUAAUGGGGGACACGUCUCCGUUCUCCCCCUUCAAAUUCCCGAAAUUUCGCCUCGUAGUGGAAAAAGCCCCCCUCCUCCUCCUCCUCCUCCUCCUCCUCCGCCAUUAUUAUCCCUCUCCUCGAGUUCCCUCUCCUCCUCCUUCAUCUCCCCGCCAUUCCCUUUCGAUCCCCUCCCCAUUCUCCUCCCUCUCCCGAGAUCCGCGUUGUCGAUCCGUUUCCCCCCUCGGAAACCACCCAAAGAUCGGGUUCCUCCCCGAUUCCCGCUUCAAAAUCGGUUCUUUUGACCCCCCCCUUAGCUCGAUUUCGCGUCCAUUGUGGAGAUUUGAACUAAAGUUUUGAUUUUUCUGGUUAUUGUGAUGGUUUUUUAGUGUUGUUGUACUUGUUGUGGGCGUCGGUGGGGUUCGUGGAUUCCAUUGGCAUUUCCCAAUUUCGGCGCUUUAGAUGCUAAUUAGGGGAUUAGGGUUCCAAAGCCGCCACAUUUGGAACCAUGUUAGGGUUCUUUUCUUGAAUAGGAAGGAAGAAUCCCCCCCUUUUUUUCCCUUCCGUUAUUAUUAUUUGCAUUAAUUGGUCACUUCAAUUUGUGAUUUUAGCUCAGAUUCAAAGCUAGGGUUUUACAGUAACCCUGCUUUAGAUUUGGCUCCAAUUGUAGUUAUCUUGAGCUCCUUGUGGGCUACAAACUUAUGAGGCGGCGCCCCGCGACGUCGGGCCACCACGAAGAGAUGGAGAAAUCCAAUUGUAAGUCGCCGCCGUCGCGGCUUUGCUUCCUCGCAACGCUUUCCGCCAUGUUCUGGAUCUUGAUCUUCUACUUCCACUUCUCUGUUCUCACCGGCACCCCAAUUAGCCCGCCGGAUCAAUCCGAAUUUUCAGACGAUAGUAGGCCAUUCGAACCCCUCCCGACGAUGCCGAGUCAUCAGCAUUUUGCUGAGCAUCAAGAGCCCAAAACUUUCCCCUUCGCCCGCGCACUUAGGACGGUCGAGAACAAGAGCGAUCCGUGCGGCGGGAGGUACAUUUACGUGCACGAUCUUCCGUCCAGGUUCAAUGAUGAUAUGAUCAGGGACUGCCGCAAGCUCAGCCUUUGGACCAACAUGUGCAAGUUCAUGAGCAAUGCCGGCCUCGGCCCGCCGCUGGAUAACACCGAGGGCGUGUUCUCCAACACCGGCUGGUACGCCACCAACCAAUUCGCGGUCGACGUGGUCUUCGGCAACCGGAUGAAGCAGUACGAAUGCUUGACCAAAGAUUCGUCGAUCGCGGCCGCCGUGUUCGUGCCGUUUUACGCGGGGUUCGAUAUUGCGAGGUACCUUUGGGGGCACAAUAUCUCGGUGCGCGACGCGGCCUCGCUCGAUUUGGUGGAUUGGCUCACGAAGAGGCCGGAGUGGAACGUAAUGGGCGGGCGGGACCACUUCUUGGUCGCCGGAAGGAUCACUUGGGACUUCCGGAGGCUCACGGAGGAAGAAACGGAUUGGGGAAAUAAGCUCUUGUUCUUGCCCGCCGCGAAGAACAUGUCCAUGCUAGUGGUCGAAGCGAGCCCGUGGAAUGCCAAUGAUUUUGGGAUACCGUAUCCGACUUACUUCCACCCUGCUAAGGACGCCGAGGUUUUCCUUUGGCAGGAUAGGAUGAGGAAGCUGGAAAGGAAGUGGCUUUUCUCCUUUGCUGGGGCGCCUCGCCCCGGCAAUCUCAAAUCGAUCCGAGGGCAGAUAAUAGAUCAGUGCAAGAUGUCGAGUGCGUGUAAAUUGUUGGAGUGCGGUUCUGGGGAGAGUAAAUGCCACUCUCCAAGUAGCGUAAUGCAGAUGUUUCAGAGCUCGCUGUUUUGCUUGCAACCUCAGGGGGAUUCGUACACUCGAAGAUCGGCGUUCGAUUCGAUAUUGGCUGGGUGUAUCCCUGUUUUCUUCCACCCCGGUUCGGCUUAUAUCCAGUACACAUGGCAUCUUCCUAGGAAUUAUUCAAGGUACUCGGUGUUUAUACCGGAGGACGAUAUUCGAAAGAGAAAUGUUAGCAUCGAGGAAAGGCUUCGGAAGAUUCCGCCCGAUGUCGUCAAAGCGAUGAGAGAAGAGGUGAUCAGCCUAAUACCGAGGUUGAUUUACGCAGAUCCUAGGUCGAAGUUGGAAACCCUAAAGGACGCCUUUGAUGUUGCUGUAGAGGCCAUUAUAGACAAAGUUACAAAGUUGAGGAGGGAUAUAAUUGAGGGUCGUGAAGAUAAAGAUUUCAUCGAGGAGAACAGUUGGAAGUAUGCUUUGUUGGAGGACGGUCAUAGGACGAUCGGGGCUCAUGAAUGGGAUCCCUUCUUUUCUAAGCCUAAGGACGGAAGCGGAGAUUCUAAAAGUUCGUCUGCCGAAGCUGCGAAAAACUCUUGGAAAAAUGAACAAAGGAGCCAACAUUGACCUCUCAGUAUGUUGCUCUUUUAUCGAAGGUACUUCGAGGCAAGUUCAUCGCCAGAGAUCGAAGUUGCUCCGCACAAUUAUUGCUCUUUCCGUGAUUUUGAUCUUCGUAAUUUGAUGAGCUUAUCUCUUUAAGUUUGUAAGGAAUACACCUAUGCCCGUGUCCAAAACUAAAAGUAGGCGCUCGACGUUCUUUUCCAGAUAUAUUUCAUUCUUUCUAUAGGCUAGAAAUUUUAUUUGAUGUUAUAUGCAUUAAUAAUUCUCUGUACUUCUUAUAGGUUCUACAAAGAUACAAAUACUUCUAUUGUAUCAUUUUGUUUUGUUCUCUUAAUGUUGUGAAUGAAAAAUGAGGAGAAUAGUGAAGUCCUUUUGAGUUCUAUAACUCUAUUUUUUAUCCUCAAUUUGCAUGUCCUUAAUACAAGACUAUUAUCUGCUCGAAGGAUGUGUGUUUAUAUUCUUUACACUUUACGCUUUUUUGGUUGCUUUUAUGAUGGUUAGUUAGUUGAGUUCUGUGAAUUGACACAUUUUCUCGCUGGUUUAGCGUUUGGAUCUUCUUGAAUUCUCAAACGGAGGGUUACGGAAAUCUUACGUGCAAAGAAUGUUGGCAAGCACUUUCGUGCCAGAUCUGCAGAUUAUAAGCCGGUAUCGACACAGCAACAGUCGAGGAAAGGUAUCGAUGCAACAACCGAAAAUUGUUACCGUGGUGAUUGUGUUUCCAGGACUUUUUACAUGGAGCCAAACGCAUUUAUAAUGCACCACUUGGUGUUAGAUGGAAUUAAAGUGUUGGUGAGAGGAAAUAGGCUUUUUAUGACCUCCAUACGACGGGACCGUGUUUUUGUCUACAAUUAUUUGCUUCCCAUCGCAUGGUGAAAGUUAAAAGUAAUCGGCGCGGUAAAGUUCCUGCAUGUUCAUUUGUACUUUGGAAUGAAUUACUGUCCUAGGAAGAGUUAGUAAAAUUCAGCUUUGGACUGUGUUCUUGUUGUUGAGUUUGUACCGAAGCAUGCUUGGUUGUACCAUUGUAAUUUUGUCAUCUCAUUCUCUGUAAGGUUAAUGUUAAUAGAAUGCAUUAUUUUGAGAUUGAUUCUGAACAUCCUAUUAGUAUUGUCAACAUCCUCAUCUGUUCCUACAAAUGUUUAUUUGCUUGAUGCUCCAAAGUUUCUACUCUCCUCUUUGGGUUCUGUCGAAAGUGCAGCAUCUAUUUCCUCAUUUUAUCUUGUAGUUUUUCUGAUCAAAGCGAAACCGAGAAUGAUUCUUGUUCUUUUGGACUCUGACAUGUUUGAAUCAGAAUCUAAGGAUGGAGCUGUAAUUUUUUUCGCAUUGAGUUUUUAAAACUGUGUCUGCAUCAAGUAUGUGUGGCAUGGCCUUGAGCACUGUGAUUUGUGAACAGCUACUGAAAAUUUACCUGUGAUCUUUGAUUGUUUGUAUAAACCUUCAAUUGCAUAUUUAUGGAGAAAUUAGAUACCCCUGCAAUCUCUGUAAUGGCAUGUUCUUGAAUUAGUAUUUGUUUCAUGUUUCAACUUAGAUGGUGUUUGUGACGCUCCAAUAGUCUCACAUCUGACGGGAAAAGAUUAUGAUUGGGAAUAUAACAAUCAUGAACUAUAAUUACAAUAACUGUAUUUAAGUAUUUUGGGGCCGUGGUUUUGAGCCCAACGAGUUAUUAUUAUUAGUGAGGUGACAUAGAAUUGUAAAGAAAUAGUUUUUAAAUCACAUUUGACUGAUUAGCCCGACCCACAAUAUGGUGAGAAUCGAGUCAUAGUUUUGACCCAUUGGAGUUGAGCUCCGUCUGGACAAACCCGACCCGGCCCAUUUUACAUAAUGGUGCCGGGUCUCGGCAACACUUAUGUUGCUUUUAGACCUAUUAAAGUGAUAUAUUGUAUCACUUGAAAGUUUUUUUUGUUUUUUGUUUUUAACUUAAUAUAUAUAUAUAUGAUAAUAUUUUAGUCUUUAAGAAGCUGGGGAACGAGCCUUGUAUAUGAAAGCACAAGCAAGGAUCGAACAUCCAACCUGUAGAACAACAACCCGGCUAACAAUCGCUAGUCAACUCGAAUAACACUUGAAAUAGAGACAAGGAAAAGACGUGUCUAAAGCCGACACGGCCCAAAUUUUUUCGUGCCAAAGUGGGUCAGGGGUGGGGAUUCAGAUCCGUGUCGUGUCGUGUCGUGUCGUGCUGGGCCGCCUUUUUCUAGACCAAGGCCUGACGCUACCCCCGUCCUCGACCAUUUUGGAAAGGGUUGUGUCGUGCCGGGCUAUGGACUCGCCCAUUUUUUUUUUCAAAUUUUAAUUUUGGAAAAAAAAAGAAAAAAAGGUCAUGCCGGCCCAUGGUGUAGGGCCAUGGGCCAGUCUUGUGGCAUGGCACGGACUGGAGCUGUACGUCCACGGGCUGUUCGGUCCGUUUUACAUCCCUACGCUCAGCUCGUCUUAUUCCCCUAUACAUGAAGUAAUCUUAAUUUUUAAGAAGGGUAAACUUUAAAUACCACUUCUAUGAUUUCGCACACUUUAGUACCCUGUGAUUUAAAGUGUAUAAAGUUAGUGUCAUGUGGUUUCAAUUUUAUCUUUUCGUCAGCUUUUCCGUUAAUAUUUCGUUAAAUUAUAUACAAAAUACUUCAGAUAUCCCACCUAGGUUUAUCGAAUAUUCACUUUAGUACCCUUUAGUUUUAACUUUGUCAUUGAUUUAAUGAAAAAAAUUAGUGAAAUUGAUAAUAAAAAGAUAAAAAUGAAACCACAGAACACUAAAUUGAUACACUUUAAAACAUAGGAUACUAAAGUGAGAAAGUAUGAAACCACAUGAAUAGUAUUUGAAGUUAUCCUUUUAAGAAUGAAGUAUAAGAUGAAUCACAAAGAGGUGACAAUUAUAGAAAUCUUCUCGCUCCACAAUUUUUAUAAGAAAAAAAAGUUUCAUUUUGGUCCCCUAAAGACUAGAAUUUAUAACAUUUUAGUUUUUACUAUGUUUUAUUAUAUAAUUUUUUUUAGAAAAAAAACCUGAGGAGGACCAUGAUCACUGUGGGCCAUAAUGUAGUUCAGUACCUGACUAGUCACACUUAAAAAAAUAAAAAAUAAAAAAACAGAAAAAAAAAAUGCAAGCUUCCAUGUAUAUUCAAAAUUGUUUUAGGGACCUUUUCUAAACCUUUAAAAGAAAAUAAAAAAGUUUCAUGCAUGUCUAGUUUUAAAAAAAUCUUAAUAAUUAUUUGGCAAAAUAACCACUCCAUUUUUUUUUUAGUUUUCUCUCCACUCCCAUACAAAUUAAAGUUGGCCUGAUGUGGUUUUAAUUAAAUAGUUGUAUAAAUUAAUAACAAUGCACAAGAUCACAAUUGUUUAAAGUAAUGUGACAAAGUUACACUGAAGAUCACACCUCAUAAACAGCCCUUCACUACCUAACAUAUAUUCCUCUCAUGGUGUGUAGCUUUGUGUAUCCUUUCCCAUUGGAGAAGAGCCACUUUUCAAUAAUUCAUGACUAAAUAAACAAAAGUGUUCAUAAAAAUACUAGUAGAUAAAUCCAAGUGAUUAAAAUUGGAAGUAGCCCUUCACCUUCCAUUACCAAUUAAAUUAACUAUGAUCCAAAGCGAAAUUUAUAUAAUCCAUCUCGGAUUUAUUUGCUAUGGCUAGCUAUAACUUAUAUAUAAGUGUUUUUUGAAUAGAGCUAUUUUUUUUUUACUAAAAACUUGUUUGCCUCGGUUAUAAGGCAUGCAUGAUGUUGUUCUAAGAAGUAUUUUGAGUUGUUCUGUCAUCUAAAUAGGAUCUUCUUAUUGGCUUAAAAGAGCCAGCAUCCUACCCUGUGGCAGGAGAUUAUGUUGGAUCAAGUUAUGUUCGAAAUGGUGAGAGGUCGGAUUAGGCUGAGUCAUGUUCGAAAUGAUGUGAGGCUGGUGAGGCCGAGUCACAGUCGAAAUCAGUGGGCACCAUAUCUGUACACUUUAAGUGAAUUUGUUGCGUAUUGCUAAUAGCUCAAGCUUUUUGGGAUUAAUGGUUGGCAGCAACGAUCCGGCACUUCUAUCUUUGAGGCUUAAACUCCUAUUUUAGUUUUCCCCAUAGCAGAAAUACUCGACUUAUUUGUUUGCUAAGUGCUUUAGUUAAUACAGAUGACUGUAACUGAAACCCUAAAAGCAGAAUCACAGGUGAGGCUGAGCAAACACUAAAAUUCCGUGAAAGCAAUAUUCCUACAACAGCGGAAGGAAGUUUCAAAUUAGAACUUUCUUUCUGUAGUAAGGAAAAGAAAAUUUUGAUUAAUUAGGUGCGUUUACUCUCAAACUUGUCAUCUCAUUGCUUUACUUUUUUUCUUUUCUUUUUUGCAUUUUGGGAGCUACAAAGCAUGUUAAGAAUGGGGAAUUGAACGUAGGAACUUUUAUCAGUAUUGAAUAUAAAAUAUUAAGACACAGUUCUCUGAUAGCUAUUUUAAACUUUAGAGACGAUUGUUUAUUCAUGUAGUAUUAAAGUAAGAGGUCUUGAGUUUAGAUCCUUCCUGUUAGCUUUGUUUAAUUAUUUUCUAUUAAUUUAAUUCAAGUCUACAUCUAAAAUAUGUUCUCCUAUAUAUAUCAGUUGCCAGAUUUUAUUUUGGAUAAGCUGUUGUUAUAUUUGUUAAAUUUCAUCAAAAUUAGAAAGACAAUGUACAUUGGAGCCACUGCUCUCUCAUCAGCUUAGUUAAAACCAUGUUUAACAAACACUAGUAAAAUAUAAUGUGCACAAAUGCCAAAUGAUUAAAUCUCAUUAUCUAUAUAAUCUAAACACAGUUACUAAAAAAAUGGUAUCUCUACAUUGCAUGCUUACACUAAUCUAAUACAGGAGCACCAGCUAGAUUUAUAGUAAAAAAUCAUGUUUUCUCCUAAUUAACUUUGGGUGCUGAUGGAUUUUGCAAACUAUUAUCUCAUUUUGUAAUUAAUCAUAUAGCUUAAUGCUCAGCCCAUUAAAUAAACACAUUAACAUAUAAUUAAAUAAUGCCUUUUAGGUUGUGUCUGUGUGUAUAUAUAUAUAUAUAGUUAUAGUGUCAUGCAACUUUAUUGCUCUUUUAUUUAAAGUAAACAAUAAGAUUGUAACAUGCCACAUUUAAUUAUAUAUCACAUAAAAGCACACUAUUUGGCACAAAUUACUUUGUGUAGUGGGACAUUAAUAAUAGUACUUUUCCCUCCACAAGUCUUUGAAAAGCCUCAAAAUGUGCUUAUUAAAAUCAAUAAAUAUGGGAGGAUAAUGCUCAAUAAUUAAUGCAUGGCUUAUUAUUCUCUGAUCUUUUUCUUUCCAAGAGGGGGGAGAAGCUACGUACACAAUGCAAUUUGAGAAGUCCCUUCACAUGGCCUCCAUCUUCUUGCUAAUGUAUUUAAGUAGUAAAGCAUAACAAGUACACUAAAAAGGCCAAGGCCAUGUGUGCAUGUGGGUGAUGAGGAGGGGUUUGAGUUGGAUGAGUGUACUGCGGUUGGUGGCCGCAUCUAUUUGAUUGCACCUCUCUCUCUCUCUCUCUCUCUCUCUCUCUCUCUCUCUUGUUGUUUGCACUUGGUGCAUGUGUACAUUUGUGCUCUGCUCUUUCCUUAAAACUAUAACACCUAAAUAGUCUCACAUCGAAUAAAAAAAAAUUUUAAUUGAGAAUAUAAGAGGCCACCUAUCCUAAUAAUAAUAAUAGGGGUUAAGCAUUUUCGAUUAGUGGUGCAUUUUGGGCUUCUGAGAGCUUAUUAAGUACUUAUGCAGGGCAAAGUGCUAUAUCAUAAGUUUGGUGGGAGUCACCUCUUGAACUCGUAGGAGUCACCUCUAUAAUCUCAUAUUGCUUGAUAAUUCUGAUUUUUAUGUUUGUGAUCGGAUUAAGACCUGAAAAGAAUAUCAAGAUUUAAACGGGCAGUCCUACAUCAGAGGAAAAAAAAAGGGUUUUUGAUUGAGAAUAUAAAAGGCAACACACCUAGUAGUAAUAAAUCGGACUUAAGUAUUUUGGAUUGAUGAUUUAGAGCCCAACGAAUUAUUAUUGUUAACGAGCUAGUUCAUUACAAAUACUAUUCUUGCAACGUUUUCUAUCAAAUUGACUAAUAUAAUAUAGAAGCUACUUUGAAGUCCUUUUUGGGUCCAAGAGAUUUGAUGUUUAAUUUUCACAUUCCUGUUUUAAGGGACGUAAUUCUGUUUGUUAUUCAGUUAUCGCUUUCGUUGCCUCUACGACCAGUGUACAUGAUUCAAUUCACCCGGGAUAUCCAUCAUGCACAUUGUCAACCGAAAGAUCGAUUAGGAUGUUAGGUAUAAUCGAUAGCCAAUUCUUAUAUUAUCGUUAAAAGUCAGGUGUUAAAGUUACUCCUAAACUAUUUCUUAUCAGAUCGAUCUUUUGAGUAAUGGGUACAUUCAGCUUCAUUAUCUCAUUUUUCAAUCUGCACCAUCCAACCAUUUUAACCGGUCACUUCGAUUUUUCAAGUUGGAAAGAAAACAUUCAAUGAGUGGCAUAAACUAGGGUGUGAGAUGGAAUAUAUGAAUGGACGGCAGGGUACGGUACAUGGGGUAUACAGAUGCACGGGGUGCAAGCAAGACCUCUCUCUCUCUCUCUCUAACAAAAUUGGAGAGAGAUGAUUUGUGGUUUCUCUCUCAUUCCAGUGUAGGGGCAUAAAUCAACAUGGGAAGAUUCUAAGAGGGAGGGCCCAAUGACAAAAUUGGUGCACUUGGGUUCAUGCCAUUUUGCUCUCUAACUAAACUACAUUAGGAGAAAAAGUUACACAAAAAUAGUACAAAGGAAUGGGGAGGAUACAGUUGAGUCGGUUGGGUUGACUUUUCAGGGAGAACAAGGGUCAUGUUAGCUUCUGUACUCUUAUAUAUAUAUAUAUAUAUAUAUAUAUGUAUAUAGUCCGGUUAUGGUGCUUGUAAAAGCAUCAAGCACUUGGUGCUUAUAAAUUUUUUACCGUUAGAUCUAUGCUUUUGAUCAUUUUUACCCGUUAGAUUAUACUAUUCAACCAACCACUCACUCAACCCUAGGGGGCCCACAUCAUCCUAACCGUAUAUUUCUUAAUCCAAGGGCCGAAAACUUAUAAACACCAAUGACUCAGUACUUUUAAAAGCAUAGAAGCUCAAUUCUCUCUCUCUCUCUCUCUCUCUCUCUCUCUCUCUAUAUAUAUAUAUAUAUAUAUAUAUAUGCUUUUUAAUUUGGAAUUGGAAAGAGGCAUCUUAAAAACCUUAUGUGGCACAAAAUUAAGUUCAUUGAAGUGGGUUUUCAUUUUUGGGUAAAUUUUAAUGGUGGGUUCCAUGGUUUUAUUCUUAUUACUUAAAUCUUAUUAGAGUGCUGUUCUGAUAUUUUUCACAAGAUUGUUUUGGUCAGUCUGAUUAAAAUUUGAUUUUUGUUCGGUUUUUGAUCUAUAUAAAUGUGUCAUGUUUGUGUUUGGUUUGAAUUUCAAUGUAAACUUGUUCGAAUCCUGAGUCAAAAUGAGUAUUUAAAUAAUUUACAUGUCGAGUUUAGAACAAGUUAAAUCUGAUUCAAAUCCAAAAUUUAGUGGUGUUGACAACACAACCUCUUUUAAAAAACUAAAAUAGUAACAUCAGAAUGCCUAAGUGUUAUAAAUGAAAUAAUAAGACAUCAAAAUGCACUUUAAUUACCACAUUACUCUUUUAUGAAAUGUACCAUCUCUCACACACGCACAUUUGAGCAUAGGAAUAUCAACAGGUCGGUUUUUGGACGACUUUUGUAAUAUCCAAAAUUGAACCUGAAUAAGAACACGAACCCGAAGCCUGAAAAUGUAGCAACUGUAUAACAAAGAAAUUACAAUAGUGAUCGAUAGCAACCAAAGACUGAGAACCAGGUAAUGCAGGUAUUAAUUAUAUUCAUAAUCAUCUAAGUGACAAUAUCUCUACCAACUAUAUUAUUACACAUUUGAAAUACUCAUUGAGGUUUCUUUGGUGGUAAAAAAUUAAUAUGCCUCUAAUCCAAGCAACCAAAUUGUUUAUCCUAUAUGGAGGUAAUGACUUUAAUUAGGGAAAGCACCCAAAGAGCUAAUCUAGGAUAGAGGACUUUUAGGUAAGAUGAUUACUAAGCUUCAAAGCAAGUGCUUAUAGUAGUUAGUAAGUCAAUAAAAAAUUAAUAUAUGAGCACAAAAGGGAGAAAAGUUAUAGGAGUUGCUUAUGAUUGUUCAUCAAUGGCUAAUGAUGCUCUAUCAUUUCUCUUUAAUUUCCUCUUAUUACCUUUUCUUUUUCACCAACUUUAUCUUGCCUUGCACUGCCUAUGACAUUUUUCUAUAUUAGCUACCAAUCCAAAUGCUAACUUUAGUUGAAGAUAUAGUGUGAGACAUAUAAUUGCAAUAUUUAAUAAUUUUGAGAUGAAAAGGUAGUUUUUUUAAAAAAAUUAGAAAGAUAGUAUGUUAUAUGCUUAUUUAUUAAAAUUUUAUUUGGAGUAAAAUAAGUUAUUUUUGAAUAACUUAUUCGGUAUGAAAAUUUUUCUUGUUUGGUUGGAGAUAAAAAAUUAAAAUUUUACUCUUUAAAAGGUUUUGUAUUCAUAAUUUGCUAGGAUGAUAUAUUUCACCUUUAAAAUUUAUAUUAUUUUGAAAACUUGACUAGAAAGUAGAAUAUGUUAUUUUAUUCUAGAUAUUUAAUCGUAUUUUUCAUCUACGAAAUACUACAACAUUUUAAGAAAAUCAAAGACAUAUGUGAAAUAAAAUAUUCAAACAUCGAAACAGAAUCUAAACAAAAUGAAUUCAGCUACAAAAAGUAAGUUAUUGGUCCUAUUAGGUUUUUGGCACUUGAAUGAAGAGAUGUACUAUUAGGAUGAUAAUAGUUCCUUAGAGUUUAGCGGGUGGCUGAUAAAAUAGUAUGAUCUAAGAGGUCAAAAUGGUCACAAGGUAAGUCUACUGGCGGAAAACUUGAAAGCGCCAAGUGCUUGGUGCUACUAACAGUAUUGUAGCAGAACUCUCUCUCUCUCUCUCUCUCUGAGUGUAUCUUUUUUUUGUACUCAUAAAUUUUUAGCCAUUGAAUGAAGGAAUGUGCAAUUAGGAUGAUGGUAGUCUCCAAUUUGGAUGAAAGUUGUCAUCUAGAGUUGAGUGGUGGUUUGUUGAAUAGUAUGAUUUAACAGGUAGAAAUGGUCAAAAUGGUAGAUUUAACGGCCGAAAACUUAUGAUAUAAAAGGGUUUAUAUUUAUGAGAAUAUAGUAGCUGGACUAUAUAUAUAUAUAUAGUUGAGCUAGAAUACUAUCGAUAGCAAACGACCUCCGUUGCCACCCAUUUGUUUUUGAUGAUGGAGCAUCCAAAUCGACGAUCGGUACCGUUGAACAUGAUCUAUACCACUUGAAGUGUUUAGAAAUCAAAUUUCAUAUAUUUUCGAUAUUGUUCUCUUAUCCAUCAAGUGGACACAAAAAUGAACGGUUGAAAAUGAAUAUUCUUUAAAAACUGAUGAUAGGACCCUUGUAAUCAAGAUCAAGAGUAUAGAUCUUGUUUUAAAUAGUUUAAAGAAUUUUCUAACAAAAAUUCAAUUGAUUUGAAUAUCUUUACGCCGUUAAAUAAGAAAACGUAUCAUAUCGAUCAUUAAAAUUACAAAUUUUGAAACCUUUUGAUCAUUAGGCAAAUGAUGUCAAAAAGAUUUAAAAUUUGAUUUCUAAAUACUUCAAGUGGUAAAGAUCAUGUUCAACGGCGCCAAUCGUCGAUUUGGAGGCUCUAUCAUCAAAAAUAAAUGGGUGACAAUGGAGCCCGUUUGCUAUCGAUAGUAUUUUAGCUCAACUCUCUCUCUCUCUCUCUCUCUCUCUCUCUCUCUCUCUCUCUCUCUAUUAUU